CCUCUGCAGGUGCAGCCCUAAAAAGCAAAAAACAGCAAAAAACAAUCCAGUGAAUAGCAAGGACAUCUGUAGCCUUCAGGGGGUUCAAACUGCGUCAGAGAGUGACUGCUGGCCAUCCCCCCUCAGGGACAGGGUCCAGGUUCCCACCCGCUGAUCAGAGCCCGGUGGGUGACGCGUUUAGUAUGCUCACCAUCUUCAGCUGGUCGUAGGUGCCAUACUCAUUACAUUCCCAGCAAUUCUCAACAGUAUUGCCUUGAAUUUUUAAGUAGCAACUGGAUCAUCAUGUGACACGAGGCAAAGGAAGUUGAAGCACAUUUGAUCAGAGCUUGUUAUAAUCAAAACGUCCAGUUAAUGACCCUGUAUUGUGGUGCGUCAUCAUUGCUGUGCGUCUGAUCUUACCCGGCAGUAAGUUUCGUAAAGACAAGAGCCGUCUGUUUAUCAUUCAUGGCACCUUGCCAGCAGGACAUGCUUCAUAUGUGUUUGCCGGAAAAGUGGUCGUGGUAAUAAGCAGAAAUGGUCAUUGGUUCUCCUCUAUCACUCUGAUGGUAUUGCUUUUCUGUGGUAAGACCAAAAUUCUCAUUUGUGUCUUUUUUUAGUCUUUUCCACCUAUAAAUGGUACCACUGACCACUGUCGAUAGAUUUCCUGAUGCUGGAAACAGGUUGAUUCUGUGCAGCCAGUGACCCAAGCACACACACGUGGACUCAGUAAGAGAUGAGCGUCUUUGAUACAUUUCCCCAAAAUUCAGGGUUCCAGGUCAUCCCACAGCUCCUCUCCUAAAUGGCCCAAGUUGACAUUCCUCAAGUUUCACCUGUUCCCACCCUCUUGUUCAGCAUAACCGUCAUAACCACAGGCUCUGGAGCCAGGUGGCCUGAGUUAAGUCCUCUCCCUUUAUUUACUAGCUGCGCCAUGCUGGGCAAGUUGUUUCACCUGUUACUGUUUUCUUAUCUGUAAAAUGAGGGUCAUUGUGGUAGGUUGCAAAAAUGGCCACAAGUUCUUCUUCCGGCACCUGCUUCCUCGGCAGACCCGCCCACAUCGACUCUGGCCUGGGUCACGUGCCUUCCUUUGACCAAUGGGACGAUAUCAAUAAAGAGCACGCAGAGCCUUGAAAAGGGCUUUCCCCCUGGGGCUGGCGCUUGUGCCACCUUGGCACCCUGAAGCUGGGGGAGCCUGCUAGAGACCAGCCCCGGUCAUCCCACUAACGAGGCCACCAGAAACCAGCCCACCCCCAGUCAACCUGCCAACAGAGCAGAGGUGCACAGAUGCUGCGCCGCCGACUCCUCACUCCCGUUGCUUCUGACAAGGCGUCUGCUUUUAUCUGCCCCUCGUUUCUCUGUACACAGCGUGUCUUUCCACUCCGGCUGCUUGUAAGAUUUCCUCUUUACUAUAGUGUCAACUUCACAGCACGUGAAUUACGUCUCAAGAAAACUUUUUAGUGGCGGAGUGUAAACCGAACUACCAAUAGUGGCUACCUCUGGGUAAAGGCCUACCGGGAUCUUGGCUGCAAGACAGAAAUGGAAAAUUCCCCACAAGAAGCCUCUCGUCAUGGCAUCUGUCUGUCUCACACUGAUCUUCUCAGAUGUUCCUGGUGAGGCGGGGGGAGAAAGCUCAGGUGCUACAAAACAAUGAUGCUGCAUUGGAAAGGCUGAUGGAUGCAAAGAAACACAACCUUCACCCUGAUGAUGCCUAAGAAGGAAGGCUUUCUCCUCGGGUGAUACUGAGGAGAAAGUAUAAAAUUACAGAAGCAAAAACCAGGAGACAGAUGUGCUGUCAGAAGCUGGCUCUCUCCCCCACCCCGGCCAAGUCCGAAAACCUUUGCUGUAAAUGUAUAGAGGAAGCAAACGUCACUGCACUGAGAAUAAAAAAAAAAAAAAAACAAAUUACACUGGUUUCUGUAUGUGGCUUUUGUAAAUCAGUUUAAUGACGUCAUUUCCACCUCGAAUGUGUGAUAAUAAGGUCAGGGUUCCCCAGCAGACGGCAGGAAAAACCCCUCUGUAUCACCGUAUGGCACCUCCCCGCCUCGUCUGUUUUUCCCUUGAAGCUGACAAUGAAUCAUUUGUUGACAUCAGUGGUGCCAUCACACGGCAGGUACGAAAUUCAAAUAAAUGUGCCUGGUGGAGUCGUACUGUUGCUGGAGUGGAGUGACCCUGGCACCUCCUUGGGGAGGCCAAACAGGACGAAGUCUGUUUCUCUGUACUGUAUGGAAAUAAAUAACCAUGUGUCCAAAAUUACAGCCCCUGCCUUGCCACACUAAACUGUAGAACAUGCUGGCAGCACCUAGUACCUCUUGCAAAAUAUAAAUACACAUCCCAGUGCAUUGAGAGUUUGCAUGGACAUAACCCACAUCAAACUUAAAAUAGCAACAAAGGAUGUUUGCAAACCUGUGACACAGAUUCUCUGGAAAUGGACCGGGAAUCAGGUCAAGAGCUAAGAAGCCUUUUAGGAUCAGAAGGAGAUGUCCCAUGAGAAGACAGACGUUAUCCUCUGAGACCCCCUAGCCCUCCAACUCGACCCUGCUCUCCGCAAAGAAUUCCAUCUGAGUCCUUAAGGGCACACGUCUGCCCGUGUUCCCAGUCCGCUGCAGAAAUGAACUGAGGCGCAGCUCCAUAGCCAUGAGGGCUUUGAGGUCUUCCUUUUCUAAUUUGUUUGUUUUGGCAUUUGAAUGUAGUUUGGUAAUUUCCUGGAGAGGAAGGAUCUGGGGUAGAUUGGGCAGCAACCUUCAUCAGGAGCCAAAAAUGUCCUAUCUGCUCAUCUUCCAUCCUGACUCUCUUCUUUUUUUUCUCUUUUGUCUUUUUAGGGCCGUACCCUCGGCAUAUGGAGGUUACCAGGCUAGGGGUCGA